rnacentral:rRNA from 1 species
UACGGAGGGUGCAAGCGUUAUCCGGAUUCACUGGGUUUAAAGGGUGCGUAGGUGGGCAGGUAAGUCAGUGGUGAAAUCUCCGGGCUUAACUCGGAAACUGCCAUUGAUACUAUCUGUCUUGAAUACCGUGGAGGUUAGCGGAAUGUGUCAUGUAGCGGUGAAAUGCUUAGAUAUGACAUAGAACACCAAUUGCGAAGGCAGCUGGCUACACGAAUAUUGACACUGAUGCACGAAAGCGUGGGGAUCAAACAGG